rnacentral:lncRNA from 1 species
CAAUCACCACAGUUUAUAUUUGACAAAAAAUAAAAAAAUUUAAAAAAAAGCCUAACAAGAUGUGCUCUACGUGAGUGAAUGCAUGAAUGCGGCAAAUAAAAAAAAAUAUUUUAAAAAAAAACUAAACUACUAUUUUUCUUUUAAAAAAGAUUGAAGAUACGAAGUACCGAAGAAAGCGCAGCAACAAAAUCUUUAUCUUUUCACUCC